AAAUCUGCUUGGUUUGAAAGUGACUUUUGUGUGAGUUAUGCUUCAUACAUCACUGCACUAUUAAAAUACACAAUAGGCCUU